GGAAUGUAGCUCAGUGGCACAGUGUGUGCCUGGCAAACACAAGGUCCUGAGUUCAAUUCCCAGUUCCA
rnacentral:tRNA from 1 species